UAUUUUCCCCAGGACUUUCCCUGGAUGCUGGAUGUGAAUGGGAUCAUAACUGUGGCUUCAGCAUUUGAAAUUAGCUUUGUCAUUUGUUAUCUGUGGGUGAUGCAGAGCUGUGAAGGAUUUAUUUACAGAGAGAAGUGGAAAUGGAUGGACUCAUUCAUUUGGACGAUCUUCCUGGCCUUCACUGUGUCUUCUACUGUUAGACUUGGGAUUCAACUCCUAUUUUUCAGCUACCUAUUUCUAAAAUAUGCAUAUCAUUUCUGCCUGCUCCUGGGCCACUGAAAAGAUGGGUGAAGCAUAUCAUGCAGUAUCGUGCAUGUGCUGAUUUUACUACUGAAGUGUGACUCUCCAGGCCAAAAAAUGUACUUCUCCUGCUGGUGGAUAAUAAGAUUUAUUCAGAGACAGAAGAAAUUCUUUUUCAACCUUACUUAUUAUCUCCUGUGGAUGGUGAGCCUGAGGAAGUUUGCCCUCCAAUGUGUGUCUACCUACCUCAAGUCUUGUCCCACUCAAACUCACCCUUCACUUCCCUAUCAAAAUGAUCUUCCUAAAAUUUAGUGGUCAGUGACUUAGCCCUUACUCAGGUUGAUCAUUCACUCACCUGUAUGUUAAAUAUUUUAAAUGCACCAAGCAUUUAUUAAGUACCUACUAUAUAGAGCAUCAUCCUAUAAUUAGUCUAACCCAUAACGAAACAGAAAUUCAUUUUACAAUAUCACUGAAAAGUGGCCAUCAACUAGAAUAUUACUGAAAGGAAUUAUUGCUGAAAGGAAUAAUGAACUGGAGGAAAUCCAUGUGAACUGGAACGACUUCCAGGAAUUGAUGUGGAGUGAAAGGAAGAGAACCAGGAGAACAUUGUACACAGAAACUGAUACAUUAUGGUACAAUUGAAGACUUUUCCUACUAGCAGCAAUGCAAUGUGAGGAACUUAUGAUAAGGAACGUCAUCCACAUCUAGAGGAAUAACUGUUUAAAUAGAAAUGCAUUAGAAAAAUGUGAUUGAUCACAUUGUGAUAGGGAUAUGAUUGGAGUUUUGAUGUUAAAGGAUCUCUCUACUGCAGAUAUGAAUAACACAGAAAUGGGUUUUGAAUAAUGAUACAUGUAUAACCCAGUAGAACUGCUUGUUGGAUUCAGGAGGGGGGAAAGAAGAUGGGUGAGGGGGAUGAUGAAUUAUGUAACUAUGGGAAAAUAUUCUAAUUUUAAAAGGAAAAAAAGUGGCCAUCAACCCUCCACUUAAAGAGACCUGGUAAGGGAAAACUACUUUUUACUUACUGAGGCAAUCCACCCCACUUUUAGAAAGUUUUCAAGGUGAGGAAGAUUGCUUAUGGACAGCAGUUCCAAGCCUAAAAUGUAUUAAGCCAGACAAUAUUGCAUGUGAGUGGCAAGCCUUUAACAAAAAAGGAUUUGAAGGAAGAAAACAUAGAAUUUAUCAUUUGUGUAUAUAGGUAUAGAAUUGGGGUUUUUGGUUUUAAAAGAUGACUCGAUUGCAAAAAAUGAAUAAUGUGGAAAUGGGAUUUCAGUGAUAAUAUAUGUAUAACCCAGUGAAAUGGCUUGUCACCUCCUGGAGGGGAGAGGGAAAAGGGGAGGGAGACAAGAAGAAUCAGGGAACAAUGGAAAAAACUUUAAAAUUAUUUAUAUGUGUGUGUGUUCUUUAUUGAGUUAA